rnacentral:rRNA from 1 species
UAGAGUUUGAUCCUGGCUCAGAAUCAACGCUGGCGGCGUGCCUAACACAUGCAAGUCGAACGCGAAAGGGGCUUCGGCCCUGAGUAGAGUGGCAAACGGGUGAGUAACACGUGGGUGACCUGCCUUCGAGUGGGGGAUAACGUCCCGAAAGGGACGCUAAUACCGCAUGACAUCCUGCUCUUGGACGAGCGGAGAUCAAAGCCGGGGAUCGCAAGACCUGGCGCUUGGAGAGGGGCCCGCGUCUGAUUAGCUAGUUGGUAGGGUAAUGGCCUACCAAGGCGACGAUCAGUAUUCGGCCUGAGAGGGCGGACGGACACACUGGGACUGAGACACGGCCCAGACUCCUACGGGAGGCAGCAGUGGGGAAUUGUUCGCAAUGGGCGCAAGCCUGACGACGCAACGCCGCGUGGAGGAUGAAGAUCUUCGGGUCGUAAACUCCUGUCGAGCGGGAAGAAUUCACGCCUGGCUAACAUCCAGGCGGGUUGACGGUACCGCUAAAGGAAGCCCCGGCUAACUCCGUGCCAGCAGCCGCGGUAAUACGGGGGGGGCAAGCGUUGUUCGGAAUUACUGGGCGUAAAGGGCUCGUAGGCGGCCAACUAAGUCGGACGUGAAAUCCCCAGGCUCAACCUGGGAACUGCGUCCGAUACUGAUUGGCUUGAAUCCGGGAGAGGGAUGCAGAAUUCCAGGUGUAGCGGUGAAAUGCGUAGAUAUCUGGAGGAAUACCGGUGGCGAAGGCGGCAUCCUGGACCGGCAUUGACGCUGAGGAGCGAAAGCCAGGGGAGCAAACGGGAUUAGAUACCCCGGUAGUCCUGGCCCUAAACGAUGAAUGCUUGGUGUAACGGGUAUCGAUCCCUGUUGUGCCGAAGCUAACGCAUUAAGCAUUCCGCCUGGGGAGUACGGUCGCAAGGCUGAAACUCAAAUGAAUUGAC